rnacentral:rRNA from 1 species
CCAGACAGCCAGGAUGUUGGCUUAGAAGCAGCCAUCAUUUAAAGAAAGCGUAAUAGCUCACUGGUCGAGUCGGCCUGCGCGGAAGAUGUAACGGGGCUAAACCAUGCACCGAAGCUGCGGCAGCGACACUGUGUGUUGUUGGGUAGGGGAGCGUUCUGUAAGCCUGUGAAGGUGUACUGUGAGGUAUGCUGGAGGUAUCAGAAGUGCGAAUGCUGACAUAAGUAACGAUAAAGCGGGUGAAAAGCCCGCUCGCCGGAAGACCAAGGGUUCCUGUCCAACGUUAAUCGGGGCAGG